AGGGCACCACCAGGAGUGGAGCCUGCGGCUUAAUUUGACUCAACACGGGAAAACUUACCCGGCCCGGACACUGGAAGGAUUGACAGAUUGAGAGCUCUUUCUUGAUUCAGUGGGUGGUGGUGCAUGGCCGUUCUUAGUUGGUGGAGCGAUUUGUCUGGCUAAUUCCGAUAACGAACGAGACUCUAGCCUACUAAAUAGACUGUUCAGCUUUAUAGCCGGAAUCACCGGGCAUGUAGCUCUCACGGGUUGCAUGUUCGGCUCUGGUGACGUUGGCAGUGCUUCUUAGAGGGACAGGCGGCGGUUCAGCCGCACGAAACAGAGCAAUAACAGGUCUGUGGUGCCCUUAGAUGUCCGGGGCUGCACGCGCGCUACACUGAAGUGAUCAGCGUGCAAUUUACGUUUGGUGAUCUGUCAAGAUUGCCCAACCCGUUGAACCUUCUUCGUGAUUGGGAUAGGGGAUUGUAAUUAUUCCCCUUGAACGAGGAAUUCCCAGUAAGCGCAAGUCAUAAGCUUGCGUUG
rnacentral:rRNA from 1 species